rnacentral:rRNA from 1 species
AGCGUAGGCGGAUAGUUCAGUCAGAGGUGAAAGCCCAGGGCUCAACCUUGGAACUGCCUUUGAUACUGGCUAUCUUGAGUUUGGGAGAGGUGUGUGGAACUCCGAGUGUAGAGGUGAAAUUCGUAGAUAUUCGGAAGAACACCAGUGGCGAAGGCGACACACUGGCCCAAUACUGACGCUGAGGCUGAAAGCGUGGGGAGCAAACA